rnacentral:rRNA from 1 species
UACGUAGGGUGCGAGCGUUAAUCGGAGUUACUGGGCGUAAAGCGUGCGCAGGCGGCUUUGCAAGACAGAUGUGAAAUCCCCGGGCUCAACCUGGGAACUGCAUUUGUGACUGCAAGGCUAGAGUACGGCAGAGGGGGAUGGAAUUCCGCGUGUAGCAGUGAAAUGCGUAGAUAUGCGGAGGAACACCAAUGGCGAAGGCAAUCCCCUGGGCCUGUACUGACGCUCGUGCACGAAAGCGUGGGGAGCAAACAGG